GAUGAACGCUAGCGGCAUGCCUAAUACAUGCAAGCCGAACGGCAAGUUCGAUAGCAGUAUUGGACCUAGAGUGGCGCAAGGGUGCGUAACACGUAUGCAACCUGCCCGCGACAGGAGGAUAGCUCCCCGAAAGGGGAAUUAACCCUCCAUAACACCAUGAGAAGGCAUCUGAUUAUGGUUAAACCGCAAGGGGUCGCGGAUGGGCAUGCGGUUGAUUAGCUAGUUGGCGGGGUAAAGGCCCACCAAGGCGGUGAUCAAUAGGGGUUCUGAGAGGAAGGUCCCGACACUGGCACUGAGAUACGGGACAGACUCCGACGGGAGGCAGCAGUAGGGAAGAUUGGACAAUGGUUGCAAGACUGAACCAGCGAGGCCGCGCGCAGGAAGAAGGCCUUCUGGGUCGUAAACUGCUUUUUCCUGGGGAUACAAUACCCGCGCGCGGGGAAUUGAAGGUAACAGGAGAAUAAGCCACGGCUAACUACGUG
rnacentral:rRNA from 1 species